rnacentral:misc_RNA from 1 species
UGCAAUCUGAUACAUCUGAACAUUA